AUUGAACGCUGGCGGUAGGCCUAACACAUGCAAGUCGAACGAGUGGCGGACGGGUGAGUUAUGUCUGGGACCCUGCCUGAUGGAGGGGUAUAACUACUGGAAACUGUAGCUAAUACCGCAUACCAUCGGAUGUGCCCAGAUGGGAUUAGCUAGUGGGGGGGGUACAGGCUCACCUAGGCGACGAUCCCUAGCUGGUCUGAGAGGAUGACCAGCCACACUGGAACUGAGACACGGUCCAGACGCCUACGGGAGGCAGCAGUGGGGAAGAUUGCAAAAGGGGCGCAAGCCUGAUGCAGCCAUGCCGCGUGUAUGAAGAAGGCCUUCGGGUUGUAAAGUACUUUCAGCGGGGAGGCGUUACCCGCAGAAGAAGCACCGGCUAACUCCGUGCCAGCAGCCGCGGUAAUUC
rnacentral:rRNA from 1 species